GGGGGGGGAGGGAAAUGUCACCCGAGGUGGGUGAGGGACAGGACGGACCGACCGACGGGCGGAUGGACGGACGGAGCGGCCCGCCGGCUUGUCAAGGCUCUCUUAAAAAGGAGAAAAGGAAAAGCGGUGGAAAAAAAUCAAAAAGCUGAGCCCCCCCCCCCCCCCUCCUCCCCCGGACCCGCACGCUGUUGUUGUUGCCGCCGCGGCUCGGGGAGGAUUUUCGAAAGUGAGCGAAGCUGAGGAGCUGCUGCCUUCCCCACCGGCUCUGAAAAUCUUCCCCUCACGUAUCCUGGUCCUGCACAGCCCUACUGGACUCCUUGCAGCCGAGUGUCAGCAGGCCUGAGCUUCCCCGGGAUCCCACCGCCUGCUUCCAGAGCUGCAUCCAUGAAAAUAUCAGCAAAUUUCGUAGGGAGAGCCAAUCUCUCUCUCUCUCCCCCUCUCUUUUUUUUUUUUUUUUUAACCAACUGACACAGUUGGAGAGAACAGCAAGCUUUUGGGCUCACAGAGCUUAGACCAUCAUGGCUACGAAAACUAAACUGCUAGUCAGAAAAAAAACACGUAAUUCUGGAACUCCUUAGUGAAAAAGCAGUGCAAAACAACGUCAGAGCAGUUGCCAAGUGAUCUUCUCCGCAGCACCCACAAACUUCAGCCUUGAACUGAAGAGGACUCAUCAAAUGCCUUGGGAGAUACAGAAUGGAACUGGAAGAGAAGCAGGGGUCUACACGAAGGGCAGUCCACUGGAGUCUUGGUGUGUGGAGGAACGGGUCCUGUUCUCGCUGUUGUUACUCCCACAUAGGUGGACUCUGUAACUGAUUAUGUGUGGGUAGGGCCCUAUUGAAAUUAAGGAGAUUCUGCAAUAGUGCAGGGUUCUGUUUGUGAAAGUUCAGUUGCAAGAUCAGGACCCUACUGUGACUUCUUACUGUGAAUUCUGUCACUGUAUCAUUGCUUGUGCUGGAACCUGCCUUUUGGGAUAAUGUAAGUCCUGCUUUUCCCCCAAAUGUACUUUAGACAUGAAAUAAUCAUGAAAACGUUCCUAAUUAGAAAAUAAAUAUCAUUUACAUGCAUUCUUUUAAUUAUGUUUUUUUGGCAGUACCAAAUAAUAUAUUCCUCAAAACUUCUUAAUGGCACUGAGGCUUUGUGGAUAGUUGGUCACAUGAUGAGAAAAUUCAGCUAUCAUGGGCAAGGAGAAAACAUUUUACCUAUUCACGCAAGCAAUGCUAUGACCCUGCUUACACUCCUUAAUCGUCUGGACAGGAAGCUUGGCUUCUGGUUCAACCACAUGCUCUUCAGGUCGACUUUGCCUGUAGCACUGAGUGUAUGGUUUUUAUGACUAGCGUCAAACUUGAAGCUUUCAAAGCCAUGUGUCAAAGAUGGGAGAACUGGAGGAACAGGGAUGUGAAGUUGUCUGCUCAGAGCUAUAUAAGAGGCCAGUGACAAAUCCAGGAAUGGAAGCCAAGUUGCAGUCUAAUAUGCUAAUCAAUGAGGAAUUUUGCCUUCUGAUACUGCAAUGAGAUAAUGCAUCCAGGUCCUGGCUAAGAAAAUGGGGUUUUCCAUCAGGAACGUUGCGGUCUGAUGUUCAAAACUUGUCGUGCGUCUAGUAAAAGAUGAACCCCCAAGGCAUGGCUGCAGUGGCUGUGUGAAACAAGAAACAGAUACCCUUUUUGUGUCACUCGUUUCACUGAUCACCAGGACUCUGAACCAGGGUGAAGGUGGAGGAAGACUCCUACAGAGAACCAGGAACGGUUUGUCCUUUUAGAAGGGAGUAAUGGCAUUUUUAAAGUUUUUACCAAAUACCAGGACAUGUGAUAAAAUUUUAUGGUUGAGAAUUAAUCAAAAGACCAUGAAAUGGGAUAGAAUGCACAUUACAGAAAGCCUUGGAGAGCUACAACCUAAGCACCCUGAAAUCUGUGACCAAGUCCACAGGACACCUCUUGAGUUAUUGCAACCACCUCCAAUGACUGCUAUUUUUUAUAUAAUUUACCAGCCCCAGUAAACUCCCCCAGACAGACUGGGAAAAGAUAUUCCUUCUAUUAAUUUUAGUCCAGAGGAAGACUCCAGAUGUAUUCUGGGUAGUGAAAUAUUUGGUUCAUGGAAUUAACUACAGAACUCAGAUCUGAAAAAAAACAAGCAGUGUAAAUUUGCACCUUGGAGGUGGUACAUGUUUUGAAAAGGAUGGUUCCAAAGAUAAUGUGCCUGUAUCUAAACUCUGUUACCUGCAACAUACAGAUUUACAGUUUUAUCUGUAUUAAAUAACACAUCUGUGUGCUGAAACAUGAAAUGUAUAAUUAAAAUAAUGACUAUAACUAUAGACCUAUGUAAAUAUUUUCUAGAUCAUAUGUGUAAAUAUUAAAGAAAUUGUUUAAUUUCUAGGGAUUACAGACAGCACUUUAAAAUUUUACACAGUCCCCCCAUCAUGAGUUUUUUAUAUAAUUACCAGUUAAGAGCUAAUCCAUCUGUUUGCUUUUUAAAAUAUUUGCAGUUGUGUUAAAUUUUACUGAGGAGCAAUUUAGUUUUCUUGUUGUUUGAACAAGAAGUCCCCGAGUAUUUGUCCCAAAUACCAAUAUUUUCACUCUGCUGGCAGCUGUAUAUUUGUGGUCACCCUUUGGCAAUGUAUGUGAAGAAUGCAUACAGUGGCAGUGCCUCUUCAGGAGAGUACCAGGAGGAAAAUUGUAUGUGGUCAACCCACACGUAAUUUGUUCUCCUUAGUGGAGGUCUUACAUGUACAGCACUUAAAUGACACUUUUUGUUUCUGGAUAAGAUGAAGGUAACUGAUAGAAACCAUUCAAAAGCCUCUUGGGCUGUUGCUUACGUUCCCUGAAAUGGGCUAAAGAGAACAGCUCUUUGGAGACACAGCUUUACAUUGAACAUAUGCAGGGCUGUGUCAUUAUUAAUUCUGCAAAUGUGUUUACAAUGGUUAGGUAAAAUAUUUAGUUACUAUUUAAAUAUUUUGAUGUAUUAUAGCUCAUACCCGAAUUUCAGAUGUCUACUGCACUUAACAUUUCCAAUUUAAAUAACCGGUUUCAUUAAGGUUUUUAGUGAUACAAAUUAAUAACAAAAGGCAGUUAAUGCAGAGUACAGUUAUGAAACCAACAUACAUGUGGUUUAAAUUUAAAGAAUUAAAUGUUAGCAUUUCCCUAUAGAGAAAGGUUAUUUGGGCAAUGGUGUACUGACAUUAUCACCACCCACGGAGAAGGGGACCUGUUGAUCCUAUUGGUUAAGCAGAAAUUCAAAAACGGAAGAAAUGUCGGUCUAGAGGGUUUGCUUGGUGUGAGUGAAUCACACAGGAAAAAUGCUGAUACCUAGAGUAGCUGCAGUGACCUUCUUUGAUGGUUAGAAAGAGAAAUAAUCACACAGGAUUUUUUGUCAAAGUUAGAAGGUUUAGGUUGCUUGCUGGCUAAAAUCGGCCUUGGUUAUUCAUAUAGUGGAAAGUUAAAUGAUGAGCAUAGAAAUAUGAUAAUAAGUGCUGUUGUAAAUGAGACAGAAAUGAUUUUCUGUGGCUGGUAAGAAUGGUAAUCCAAUGUGUUAACCAUUGGGCUGGAGGGCUGCUAAGAAAAUAAACGUGCAAAGUGGGUAAAAUAAAGGAUAAAAGUAUGUAUAUGUAGGCAUUUCUUCAAAGCUUCUUCAGUAAGGUGUUUCUGGACGCUCUGCUGUACUGCUUUGGACAAGUCAUGUCUAUUAAAAUAAAAGUAAGCAAACAGCUUUUGUUUUAACAAUAAAUACCGCUAACUGUACCUCU